ensembl:lincRNA Gm28181 predicted gene 28181
CAGCAGGAGCAGAGGAAGCCAAGCACUUCAUCUAAUUUAAUUUUCUCUUGCCUUUUUAAUAUACGUUACAUCAUAAAGUUGGAUGUAUCCGCUUAAAUAACAGUUGCAAGACUGCUGGUGAAUGAUGUGGAAAGACAUUUUAAACGGAAGGGCCAGCUAGAACACUGUCAUCCCAUGUGGAGAUGUCGAUGUAGAUCAGACAGACUUCCUUCCUAUUGAGGAUAAUGGCUUCCAAUCCAGAAUUUUGAUAGGCGGAGAAAGAGGAGCUGAGAGAGGCACACCAGCUUUUUAACUUCCUGGACUUUAACAGGCACACAUGGCUUCUAUUAUAGAUCACUGGCUUCCCCCACCCAAAGGGAGGCUCAGGGAAGAAGGAGUUAUGACGUCAUCGCUUGUUCAUUAUCCAUCUCAGACCACUGACAACUCCCCAAGUACACCCCGCUGCAGUCAGACUCUGUUCCUUCGCCCGUUUGGCUCCUGCCUGGAAUGCUCCAUUCUCUGCUUUGCCUUCAAGGACUGAGACUCAAAUCUCCUUACUUGACACCGGCACCUCCUCUCCGAAAGCACAGCAUUUUGCUUGCGUGGUGCAGAGGAGUGAUCAUUGUGUUCAUCUCUGCCAGAAAACUGUGGUCUCUGAGAGGACACGUACCACAUACACUAUGAAAGAAACAUUUAAGGAUCUGAAAA